CAAAAAAUAUUUUAUAAAAAAUAUUAAUUUUGGAGAUUAAUGAUAGAAAAUUUUUCUUUUUUUGA
rnacentral:tRNA from 1 species